GAAAUGAAAGCCCGGAAACCCCGGAACUAGAACUGGUAUCUCUUCAACUACCUGUGAAAACUGAUGUGAUGAAAAGGGGAAUUUGAAGGAGCCAUUCCAGAAGACAGGGCGAAAACUGAAGUGCAAUCAGGGCCAAGAAAAACAGAAAUAGCAGGACCUGGAGUUGCAUAGGUUGAAUAGUUGAAUAGGCUGCUCUCCUCAGCUGGCAGGAAACCUGGCAGCCUCCUGGUGCCCAAGGACUGAAAACCUUAGAAGCACCUGGAGUUGGCAGCCUUGGCAUGGUCAGGUUGGCACCUCUGGAGGUGCCCAGGCUUCCCUGGCAGCAUUGUGAGCAGUGGAUGGUGUUGAAGGGCAGCCAGAGGAGGAAUGGAACACAUGCUCCUUGCUAACCACACGGACAAGGCCACGUUCACAGGUACACAAAGGCAACGCAGUUGCUCAGGUGCUUCGGUAUCACAGCCAAGACCCCUUCGGGGGAAGCUAGUCGGAUACUGGGACCCACAUUCCAGACUACUGAGCCGCGGUCGCGCCCUCGGCUCCGUUUCUGCUCCCUCCACCCCACGAGGACGGGGGUGGAAGGCCACCUUCGAUGGGUGCAUCCUCCACGAUGACCUGCUAACAAAGGUGCAUGGAUUUCAGAGUCUGAUUGGCCUACAACAGCAUUUGGCUUGUGGAGACAGUGGUUCCCUGAUGAAAAACUGCCAUGAUGUAAGGAAGAGCCUGUCAGAGCGAGGCUGGGGUGCUGCGUGUUGGGGAGGUGGAGGUGUGGCUUCCCGGGAGAAGCUCCACCCGCUGGCUGAGUCUGGCACAUAAACCAGUCUGUGAGGGGAUGGAUGUGGGUGUAAUGGGGGCAAUUACAGUAGGAAGGAGCCCACGUGGAGCCUGCAUUCUCUGGGACAGGGCAUUACUGCAUUCUCUGGGACAGGCUAAGGCCCAGAUCCUACCUUCCCAGGUGGCUGGAUGGGUCAUAGAUGUAUGAACCGGUCCCCUCAUUUUCUGAUUGCCCUGUGCUUAACGUUUCUGUACCUUUACUGAGGCUCUUUCCUCCAACUCCAGUGCCCAGACCCCCCUUCUCCUGAACAUGAAUGCCUGUCCAUGGAAAUUCGAGUCUCUCUCUCUCACCCAGGCUGGAGUGCAGUGAUGCAAUCUCAACUCACUGCAACCUCUGCCUCCCAGGUUCAAGUGAUUCUUGUGCCUCAGCCUCUGGAGUAUCUAGGAUCACAGGUGCGUGCCACCAUGUCUGGCUAAUGUUUUGUAUUUAUAGUAGAGAUGGGUUUCGACAUAUUGGCCAGGCUGGUCUUGAUCUCCUGGCCUCAAAGUGAUCUACCCACCUGGGCCUCCCAAAUUGCUGGGAUUACAGUUGUGAGCCACCACACCCAGCCUGUCCCUGAAAUUCUAAUGAAAUGUGCGAUAAAGUUGUUUUGUUUUUCUUUUUGUUUUCCCUUCUUGGCAAAGCCUGGUGUUUCUAUUUUAGUGGAUUUGCCUGGCACUGAGGACUGCUAUGGUGGUCUUCAGAGGCUCCUGGUAUUGACUGCUUGUGAAACCGCUUUUGCAAAAUUAUGACUGAGACAGUGAAAGAGAUCUAACUUAACCGACCCAAUCUUGCUUCUAACCUCCAAAUUGUCCUUAUUCAUUCCUGAGCAUAGCCUGAACUAACUUUGGGAGAAGCUUAGUUUAUAUUUUAUUUUAUAGUUUAAAACAAAGAUGUUAACAGCCCUUUCCCAAGGCAGACUUCCUUCUUGCCUGGGGACUAGGUUGCCUUUGGAGGACUAACAUUAGCCACGAGAUUAGAAAUUAUGGGCUGGGCCUCGUGGCUCACCCCUGUAAUCCCAGCACUUUGGGAGGCCACGGCAGGUAGAUCACCUGAGGUCAGGAGUUCAAGACCAGCCUGGCCAACGUGGUGAAACCCCAUCUCUACUAAAGAAUACAAAAAUUAGCCGGUUAUGGUGGCACAUGCCUAUACUGCCAGCUACUUGGGAAGCUGAGGUGGGAGGAUCGCUUGAACCUGGGAGGCGGCGUGGAGGUUGCAGUGAGCCAGGAUCUUGCCACUGCACUCCAGCUUGGGCGACAGAGUGAGACUCUGUCUCAAAAAAAAAAAGUUUAGAAAUUAUGCUUUAGGAGUCAUGCAGCUGGAGGCUACAAGAUUCUGACCCUCCCUAAACUGCUCCUAAGAUCAGUGCUUGAGAUAUUUUGCAGACCCUGCACUUGAUGGAUCAGCUGGCACCACCCAGACUGAUUAACUGGCUCAUGUGAUCUUGUGGUCCCCACCCAGGAACUUAAUCAGCACAAGGAGACAGCUUCAACUCCCUAUGAUUUCAUCCCUGACCAAUCAGCACUCCUGGGCUCACUGGCUUCCCCCUACCCACCAAGUUGUCCUUAAAAAGUCUGCUCCCCAAAUGCUCGGGUAGACUGAUUUGGGUAAUAAUAAAACUCCGGUCUCCCACACAGCCA
rnacentral:lncRNA from 1 species